GUGCUAGUUUUUAAUUGUCUUUCUGAUUGGAUCAUAUUUAGAAUUAGAGAUCGCAACCUUGAUUCACUGAACUGUUUUCCAAUCAGCCGUCGAUUGUUGGAAGCUGCACUGUCGAGGCCUGGAAAUAUUAGCUCAAGUGCAUGCUGUAUACAAUUUUGGAAAAUCUAUUUUUGACUGCAUAAUGACCUUGAUUGAUAUGAUGAGAUCCCGAAAAUACAACAGGAAAGGAUUUUAGCUGACACUUCAAGUCCCACGAGACGGAAGGAACUGUGUUCAUUUUGAAUUGCACAAAAGUGGUCUUUUUUAUUGCUAGGAUGUUCAUACGAAACGCACUAAGGCAAACUGCCAAUACAUUAUUGGCGUGUAAAUUUUUCACAUGGGUCCAAUGAAAUUUCACACGGAGAAGUAUUGUAUAUAGCCACCGCAUCGCGUAUCAUAUUGUCAGUGUUUCCCAGAAUCAGAAUAAUUUUUAUCUUACAUUCCCAGAGAUAUGCACGUUCAACUACUCCGCCGAGGUGUAUAGAUAUGAGUGUUGUUCACCACCACCAUUGAACUUUGAGAUCAUAUGUAUUAUAUGCCAUAUCAAUUUGCAUUUCAAAUUAUUUUUAUCUUUUGAAAAAUUGAUAUGGCCGACUUGUACUCUGCAAAUCGCUAUUUGCGCUUACGGAGAGGCGAGGUUCUGCUGGAUACUUCAAAGCAAAAGAUACCACUCCGUGAGAAUGGAAGGCUGAUAUGCAAAGUGUUUCAAAAUAAUGUCGCAGUCGCCUACGUUUGCUAAAAUGACUUUUAUUGUCUGAUUAUGUGUACAUUUUAUUAUUGGUAUGAAUACAUUAGACAGAGAAAAAGGGGAUAUUUUAUAUAUAAACAAAGUCGUUAUUUGAAUAUCAAGAGAAGAUAGGCAAA